AACACAUCACUCCAUCUCGUCGGCUGAUGUCCUCUCCGACGCUUUCACGCCGCUCGGCUGCCACUCGGUUAUUAUUCUUGGCCGUGGUCCACCAUCCCCUCCAGCGAUGUGUCCUGCCCAAACCCACCUUCGUAAUAGUUUGGAUAGUGUCAUUAGCCUCUGCACGAUCCUGACCAACGUGUUCUUCUUUAAGUCUCUCGGUGUAAUCCCAAGCGUGCCUUUCCCCACGCGCAUCUGCGCACUCUGCCGACGUCGUUCUGCCGUUUUCGUUCGUGGCCGCGUCUCUGGUCCAUUCAGUCGGAGCACGGAGUGCGCACAGGCUACGCAGCUUUCUUACUGAGGCACACUGGCGGGUUCCUUUGAAUCAUACCUUCGAAGAAAGUCUAUCGGUGCUUCGCAUCAUCGUCGUCAUUAUUAUUAUUAUUACUACUACAUGUCCCAGAGCGCAAGGAAGGCCUCACAUAGUCUCACAACUCUCGCCCAAGAGGGAUAUAAAAGAGAAUAUAAAGAUUCCAGAGAGGAAGGUGCCUGAGUCGGGAAUCAAACAUAACGGCCGUUCACCGAUGACAAAUCAUCAAAAAAUGAGACUAAGCAGAAGUCGAAGUGGCGAUGAAAAAUAGAAAACGGUUUCGCCCUGCGAUGGCUCCCACGCCACUGCCUGACCGUAGGGCCUCCACCAAAGUGAACUCCCGAGGCGAUUUGGUCUUCUCUUCCGUGUUGACGAGACAUGUUGGAAGAGGUAUGAGCACCCCCAACACUUUACAUCACCACGCGCAACCUGCUGAUUUA